AGCAUACUCAUCAGCUGUGAUCAGCUGGCCUACUUGUUUGGGAAGUCUGCUCAAGGCCGGAGUCCAAUCUGAAUUGUGUGUGAAAGACGGAAUAAAUGUGAGGCCUUUCAUGAGCAGGGAUGACUGUGAGGGAGAGAGAGUAAAGUGUUUGGAAAGAUUCACAACAAGCCUGUGUGCACCCUUUCUCGGGUGUUCACUCACUGCAAGUUUAAAUAUCGUGCCCAGUGUUCCAACAUGUUCCUGGCUGUCUCUGCAGUCCAGUGCAGGCCGUCACUCUCUACCUGAAACUGAUCCUCUGGCAGGAGGGGGAUGAAGGAAUAAUUUUCCUCUAUGUAAUUGUUCAAUUCAUCUAAAAAUAUUUUUUCUCCUUCUGGGAGAGAUUGGGGGAUAUUGAUCAGGGGGAUCCACAGUUGGGCCUCUGGCAGUCUCUCUUGUGCCACCUGACUCAAUCUGGCACACUCUCUCAUCGCUGAGAUGCGUAAUCUUUGUGUGCGGUUAUUCAGGCCGAAUGCCAAGACUAUUUUUUCUACUUGUGUGUCUACUGUAGCUUUUUCUAUCAGAUUGGCCGCGUGCUGCAAUUUAGCCCCUGGAAAACUGUCAAUCUGUAAAUCAGGAAUGUCAAAAGCAGGAAUCCUGCUCAAAUUGGAGUCCCCGAUGACCACGUGUUUCUCUUUGAGUGCCAGUUUCCACUCAUUGAACUUCUUGUUAGUUCUAAGAGAUAAUGUUUUCCAUUUUUUUGGAAGUUUCCCCCCUCUCUGUCUCCUGAGGAGCCCCUGGUUGAAGAGAUGUCACAGAAUAUUCUGAAAAAUCAAAGUCUGAGAGAUUUGGUGACCCUGACGGAUUUUGGAAGAUCUGGGCACUCUCAGCUGUGUCCCUUAGAGGAUUUACUCUAUGUACUGCAUUGGCUACAAUGGGGACCAGAGAAGGCAGGCCUGUGGUUAUCGGGGCCUCAGCCUCAGAGGGGGCAAAAGGAGAGAAAAGUUCCUGUGACAGCUGACCCGUAAACUCAUCUAAAUCAUCCAGUCUGUCACCCUGUGCAGGAGUUAACUGAUCCUCCUCCUCAUCAUCAUCAUCAAAACUCACUAAGAGAUUUUUCUCAGCUUGUUCUGUAACGACUGGUGGAGUUUUUGGUCUCUGUUCUGUCAGGUGUUUUUUCUUUUCUGGUCUUUUCCCCUUAGGAGACUGUAUAGGGGCCUGUAUAGGGGCCUGUACAGGAGGGUUCAGAGGUGGAAAAUCAUCUCCCAGAAGCCAGUCGUUCCUCAUAGGAGACCAGCCUGACAUUAAAGUGGGCGAUGUUUGUAUCUGGAUGUGUGUGACCCCUGUCUUAGGUCUGACGACCCCUGUGUUGACCGUUUCUGUCCCCUGCUGAGCUGAGGCUAGAUCUGCACCACUAACCACCUGAGCAAAUGUUCUGUUGCUACUGGUUUCAGAAUUCGAUGGUACUCUAGACCCGGAUGGAGUCCCAGAACGCAAUUCGGUCAGGACCAAAGUUUCGGCCUGCUGAAUUGCCCUCUGGGAGAUCCUUUUGCCAAAAUUUCUCAUCGCCCAUUUUACAGCGAUCUCAAAAGCGUGUAACCAGUCUUUUCUCUGUGUCUCUCCCCGUAAGAUCCCCAGUGUGUGCUUUAUGAUAUCCUCAUAAUGUUGCUGUAACACCAACUGUGUCGUAAACGCCCAGUUCUUUGCAUUACCCUCCAGCAAUUCUUUUGUGGACAUUGUGGGGGCAAAGGGUUUGAUCACACUUUUAAGAAGCUCUGUUAACCUUUUAAGAGUGACAGGCUGGUUAUCUUCUAUCCGUGUGUCAAUAUUACUGAGGUGAUGGACAGAUCUGAUCAGAUGAUACAUAUUCUUAAUAAUUCUCCGAAAAGUGGGAGAAGCAGGAGAGUAUUCUGUAUUUUUUUGUGAAUCAAAGUGAGUUUUUUGGCCCAUUCUUUUUUUCUGGUGAACAUAUUUUUGUGCAAACUGGCCAUUCUCACGUCUCCUGUUCUUUUCUACAUUACGAGGAGAAUAUUGUGUGUUUCUGUAUCUCUGGUCAGUAAACCUGUUCUGUUCAGUGGGGUAAAAAAUCCUAUUUUGCCCAAAAGUCACUCUCUUUUGUUUGGGUUUAAAUCCCCGAUUUAAAGGGCGUCGAUCACGUGACUGACGACGGAAAGGAUUUACAGUAUUCUCCGAUCGAGUUUCAUUCUGUACUCUGUUACUGUAACCCGCGAGUGAUUCUCCGUGUCUGAUGACCUCAUAUGGGAAGUCACGAGAUCGCUCGACAAAAUAAUCGUCCCUCAUAAAUCGUCCCCGUCUGGGGAAAUCCCUGUUAUCUGUGUGAGGGAUCAGACGCGCUCGAGGGGUCGUGAAACGACCCUUGUUCUGAAAAACGAACACCAUCCUUAUUUUACUGAACGAUCAAAUCCACAACUGUGUAUUCUUUUAAUCUUUUAUUCUAUUUCUGAAAAUGAAAAAAAAUGUUUUUUUUGUCCUUUUAUAUUUUUUUAACUUUUUUUUGGAUUUUCUUGUGUUUUUUUUAACAAUAAAGAGAUAAACCAACUUUUUUUGGAUUUUGUAGUGUUUUUUUCAACAGUAUGAAAUGAACCAGAUGUGUGAUUUUAUAUGAAAUCAAAAGAAAAAAGAUCAAAGGAUCAAAAUAAAAUUUCAAAAUAAUGGAAAAAAACAAAAAUAUAUUUUCUUUUAGGGAAAUAAAUGUUUCUGUGUUCAAGCCUAUAUCGCGACGUUUCGAUACUUUGAUGUAUCUUCUUCAGGCAGGCUUGAACUUUUAAAUUUUCUGUUUUAUCUCGAGAUACAAAAUAACCGUUUUACUAAAUCACCAACCAAGAUGUUACUGCAAGCAGUGCAACAAUCCUUCUGACUCAGACUGCGUUCCGUUAGGUAUAUCAAAGCCAGUCGAUGACGUCAUCGGCACGCCAUCCUCCAAUCCCUUCAAACCAAUACAAAAUUUAAACCAAACAAGCACACGAUGCAUUUUUCAAAUUUGAAUUAUGUGCGUUGCAUUUUUUAUUUUUUAUUUAUUUUUAAUCGAUGCAUGUUGCUUUUUUUAUAGAGAAUUUUUUUCUUUGCUUUUUUCAAAUUUAAACGAUGCUCUUUGCCUCUUUCAAUUUGAAAAAUGCAGCUCCUCAGUCUGCAUGUAACAAAGAAAUCAAUGCAUCCCUCAAAUGUGCUCCAAGUAGCCAUAAAUAAUAUUUUUUAAUCAUUUAUGACUAUUAAAGCCCUCUAGUGCCUCAUAAUAUAUGUAUUUUUAUUUAUUGUAUAUUUAUGUAUAUUCAGUUCUGUUUCUAUAUGUUUUUCACAAUCAUCUCUUUCUGUUUUAUAGAGAGAUACUGAAAAAAAUAUAUUCUAGUGCCCAUGAAGUAUUUAUAAUUUUAUCUUUAUGCUUUUUUAUGCUUUUUAUAUUUGUAUUAUAUUUAAC